AAUAUAGGACCGGCUGGGAUAAUCUGAGAUAGCGGAGGGAGAUUAGCGCGCCACGCCGCAAAGGUUAUCUCAUUCACGCAGGAUUAUCAGAAAUAAAUCAUAUUUUCCUAUAAAGCGAGCACAGUACGCGGUCGAGAUAAGAUGACCGCGCGGUUAGGUAUACAACAUCGAUACCGGUCGUGUGUACACAUUGCAGGUAAUGCGUGUUUGUUGUCGUUGAGCAUCAACGAUAUCGCCGUUUGUCCGCGCGACGCUUAUCCUGUGUGUCUCUUUCGCAGCUAUCGUUCGGUCGUAAAUCUAUAAACGGUAAAUCCUAUAGCGUGAUUUCCAGAGGAAAAUCGUCGACAAUUUGCCAAGGGGUCCACCUGCGAGGCAACGCGAGGAGAAUCCUGUUUACGUGUAUAGGUGGCUGAUUCUUGAAUCUACACUCGAAGAAGAUUCAUAGUCGUUCCAAUAAAGUAGUGAUAUAGCACUACUUCGAAAUGAAAGGCUACAUUUAUAAUUUUUGUGGAAACAAAAGGAGUUGCUGUAAUAAACUAAUGAGAAACAAUAUUUGUGAUAUUUCAAUCUCUGCAAUCAUUUUUACUACGUAUAGAUAAAGAAGAAAUGGCUACCAUCUUUGAACAAUCGUAUGUUUAUUUAUCAAGGAGAAAUCACAAUUGAUAUAUAUACAUUUCAAGAAUUCAAUAUUUGCAUGGCAAUAACGAAUUGCGAAGCAGAAAAUCUAUGAAAAAGUUCACCAUCGAUAAGUUAAGAUAGUAGAAUUUUUAUAUCACUAGUGAUCGGUAAAUUUCAAAAGUAGAUAAUUUUAGCUAAACUGAAGUGCAAAUUAAAUGUUACAGAAACAAUGAUAAGGUUUUGACAUUUCGAUUUUGGCAAGGGCUCUUUCGAAAAACAUUCAUCCAGCAUCUUACAAGGAACGAAAACUCAUUUGAGUUAUGAAGGACGAAAACAA